UACGGAGGGCGCAAGCGUUGUUCGGAAUUACUGGGCGUAAAGAGCGUGUAGGCGGCUGAUCAAGUCGGGUGUGAAAGCCCGGGGCUUACCCCCGGAAGUGCGCUCGAAACUGGUCAGCUAGAGUAUGGGAGAGGGAAGUGGAAUUCCUGGUGUAGCGGUGAAAUGCGUAGAUAUCAGGAGGAACACCGGCGGCGAAGGCGGCUUCCUGGACCAAUACUGACGCUGAGACGCGAAAGCGUGGGGAGCAAACAGG
rnacentral:rRNA from 1 species